GUCUAAGUGACGAGUCCAAAAUAGAACGAAACGCGCUUCAAACUGGAU
rfam:Schistosoma rodhaini strain Burundi genome assembly, scaffold: SROB_scaffold0000025